rnacentral:rRNA from 1 species
AUACAGGUGGUGCAUGGUUGUCGUCAGUUCGUGUCGUGAGAUGUUUGGUUAAGUUCAGCAACGAACGCAACCCUUGUCCUUAGUUGCCAGCAUUAAGUUGGGGACUCUAAGGAGACUGCUAGUGUAAGCUAGAGGAAGGUGGGGACGACGUCAAAUCAUCAUGCCCCUUAUGACCUGGGCUACACACGUGCUACAAUGGCUGAUACAAAGAGUCGCUAAACCGCGAGGUCAAGCAAAUCUCAAAAAGUCAGUCUCAGUCCGGAUUGAAGUCUGCAACUCGACUUCAUGAAGUCGGAAUCGCUAGUAAUCGCGAAUCAGCAAUGUCGCGGUGAAUACGUUCUCGGGUCUUGUACACACCGC